rnacentral:rRNA from 1 species
UACGCCUACGGGGGGCAGCAGUGGGGAAUAUUGGGCAAUGGGCGCAAGCCUUACCAGCAAUACCGCGUGAGUGAAGAAGGUCUUCGGAUUGUAAAGCUCUUUGAUCAGGGACGAACAGAUGACGGUACCUGAAGAACAAGCCCCGGCUAACUACGUGCCAGCAGCCGCGGUAAAACGUAGGGGGCGAGCGUUAUCCGGAUUUAUUGGGCGUAAAGCGUCCGCAGCCGGUUUAUUAAGUAUAGAAUAAAACUUCGGGGCUCAACCCCGUCUCGUUCUAUAAACUGAUAGACUAGAGUGUGGUAGAG